rnacentral:lncRNA from 1 species
AAAAAAGGGCAUCCAGAAAUAGAGAGACUUUUUUGGGAAGAGCUAAAAAUCAUUCCUUAAGAUCAUUUUUUAGGGUGGAGAUUUUAGCUUUAGGUUCCCUUUGAGAGUUAAAUGAUACUUUAAAAUAAAGAGGGAAAGUUGAAAAAGAAUAAUAUUAUUUCAUUGAAGUGAAAAUAGCUAGAACCUUUUCUCUUUUUACUUCUGUUAUGUACUUGAAGUUAAAAUACUAAGAGAAGUUUAUAGGUUUGGAUCUGUUUGUCUGAAUCAAAAUUCAAUACCAAUUGGUUUGGUCAAAGUUGUGUCUGGGUUCUACUGGGUUCAUACUAUUCAGGUUUGGUUGAGUUAAGCUCUGGGCUGCUGUUGAUUUAUGCCUGUUACUGUUGUUCGUUGAUUUCUGAUUUCUGUCACUUACUGCUGAUGAUCCUUUAUUUUUGGCUUGUUAACACAUUUCCAGGUACAUACGUUGAACUAGUUAUGGUGUAUAGUUCAGAUUGGAAGUGGAAUGAAAAAUGCUUACCGUUUAGAUCCUAAAUAAUACGUGUUCAAUUUGUCCUAAUAGAGUAAAUAAUAGAUGAUUUGUAUUUGUUCAGGUUUACUGUUAACUUGGGUUACAUUGUACUAUUGGAUUGUUAAUUUUAGGAUUGUAUUAAGUAGGUUUGUUUGGAUUCGUUUUGUAUAGGGCUGUUAGUAUACCAUCUAGAGAGACAAAAGGCGUAUAAUUCUAGUUUUAUUCUCUAUGUGAGUGUUAACGCGAUUAUCUGCUCGUAUGUAUAUGCUCGUUUGUAAGACUCUCAGCAAUUGUUAGUGGUCUGUUUAAAAUGUGAAUCUUCCUGGUGUUAAAAAAGCCUUUAGUAAUUGAGUCCUUAAUAGCUCAUCGGUCUACUUGUGCAAAUUAAAUGUAUUGAGUUUGUUUAGGCUGUGGUGUUCAACGUGUGGAUGAUUUUGUCUUCUGGCCACAGAAGUUUGAGAACUAACUUAUUCGCCUUCAAAUU